AGAUUGAACGCUGGCGGCAUGCCUUACACAUGCAAGUCGAACGGUAGAGUAGCAAUACUCGAGAGUGGCGAACGGGUGAGUAAUAUAUCGGAACGUGCCCAGUCGUGGGGGGAUAACGUAGAGAAAUUUACGCUAAUACCGCAUACGAUCUAAGGAUGAAAGCGGGGGAUUCGCAAGAACCUCGCGCGAUUGGAGCGGCUGAUAUCAGAUUAGGUUGUUGGUGAGGUAAAAGCUCACCAAGCCGACGAUCUGUAGCUGGUUUGAGAGAACGACCAGCCACACUGGGACUGAGACACGGCCCAGACUCCUACGGGAGGCAGCAGUGGGGAAUUUUGGACAAUGGGCGAAAGCCUGAUCCAGCAAUGCCGCGUGCAGGAAGAAGGCCUUCGGUGUAAACUGCUUUUGUAACGGAACGAAAGGACUUCUUUCUAAAUAAAGAGGCCCAUAGACGGUACCGUAAGAAUAAGACAACCGCUAACUACGUGCCAGCAGCCGCGGUAAUCUA
rnacentral:rRNA from 1 species